AACGUAGGACGCAAGCGUUAUCCGGAGUUACUGGGCGUAAAGCGCGGGCAGGCGGCUCGAAACGUCUGAUGUGAAAUCUCCUCGCUCAACGGGGAGAGGCCAUUGGAAACGGUCGAGCUGGAGGGCAGUAGAGGUAGGCGGAAUUCCGGGUGGAGUGGUGAAAUGCGUAGAGAUCCGGAAGAACACCGGUGGCGAAGGCGGUCUGCUGGGCAGUUGCUGACACUGAGGCGCGACAGCGUGGGGAGCAAACAGG
rnacentral:rRNA from 1 species